GGGGAAUAUUGCACAAUGGGCGCAAGCCUGAUGCAGCGACGCCGCGUGGGGGAUGGAAGGCCUUCGGGUUGUAAACUCCUUUCGCCCGGGACGAAGCCCACCUUGGUGGGUGACGGUACCGUGGAGAAGAAGCACCGGCUAACUACGUGCCAGCAGCCGCGGUAAUACGUAGGGUGCAAGCGUUGUCCGGAUUUACUGGGCGUAAAGAGCUCGUAGGUGGUGUGUCGCGUCGUCUGUGAAAUUCCGGGGCUUAACUCCGGGCGUGCAGGCGAUACGGGCACGACUAGAGUGCUGUAGGGGUAACUGGAAUUCCUGGUGUAGCGGUGAAAUGCGCAGAUAUCAGGAGGAACACCGAUGGCGAAGGCAGGUUACUGGGCAGUUACUGACGCUGAGGAGCGAAAGCAUGGGGAGCGAACAGGAUUAGAUACCCUGGUAGUCCAUGCUGUAAACGGUGGGCGCUAGGUGUGGGCUGUGUGUUUGCCGUCUGUGCCGUAGCUAACGCAUUAAGCGCCCCGCCUGGGGAGUACGGCCGCAAGGCUA
rnacentral:rRNA from 1 species